rnacentral:rRNA from 1 species
CUUUCCCUUCGGGGCAUUGGAGACAGGUGGUGCAUGGUUGUCGUCAGCUCGUGUCGUGAGAUGUUGGGUUAAGUCCCGCAACGAGCGCAACCCCUAUUUCCAGUAGCCAGCAAGAAAGAUGGGAACUCUGGAGAGACUGCCCGGGAUAACUGGGAGGAAGGCGGGGAUGACGUCAAAUCAUCAUGCCCCUUAUGAUCAGGGCUACACACGUGCUACAAUGGCGUAAACAAAGGGAAGCGAAGUGGUGACACGAAGCAAAUCCGAAAAAUAACGUCUCAGUUCGGAUUGUAGUCUGCAACUCGACUACAUGAAGCUGGAAUCGCUAGUAAUCGCGAAUCAGAAUGUCGUGGUGAAUACGUUCCCGGGUCUUGUACACACCGCCCGUCACACCAUGGGAGUCGGAAAUGCCCGAAGUCAGUGACCCAACCGAGAGGAGGGAGCUGCCGAAGGUGGAGCCGGUAACUGGGGUGAAGUCGUAACAAGGUAGCCGUAUCGGAAGGUGCGGCUGGAU